rnacentral:rRNA from 1 species
UACGAAGGGGGGCUAGCGUUGCUCGGAAUCACUGGGCGUAAAGGGUGCGUAGGUGGAAUGGUAAGUCAGUGGUGAAAUCUCCAAGCUUAACUUGGAACUGCCGUUGAUACUAUCAUUCUUGAAUAUCGUGGAGGUAAGCGGAAUACGUCAUGUAGCGGUGAAAUGCUUAGAUAUGACAUAGAACACCGAUUGCGAAGGCAGCUUGCUACACGAUCAUUGACACUGAGGCACGAAAGCGUGGGGAUCAAACAGG